rnacentral:rRNA from 1 species
CGAACGGGUGAGUAACGCGUGAGGAACCUGCCUCAAAGAGGGGGACAACAGUUGGAAACGACUGCUAAUACCGCAUAAGCCCACGGGUCGGCAUCGACCAGAGGGAAAAGGAGCAAUCCGCUUGAGAUGGCCUCGCGUCCGAUUAGCUAGUUGGUGAGGUAAUGGCCCACCAAGGCAACGAUCGGUAGCCGGACUGAGAGGUUGAACGGCCACAUUGGGACUGAGACACGGCCCAGACUCCUACGGGAGGCAGCAUG